AGACUAUAGCCCACUACUGCCUGUCUAGGAUUUGUGACUGGGUGCUGGUGAAGGCAAAUGCCAUUUUGAUUUGUUUCUGUUGCGUAUAUGAGUUACAGUUGGGUGCCAUUACUGAAACACAUGGAUAUCCUGACAAAUUCUGUCAAGGUCUACUGAGGUCUUAUCCCCUUGGUACAUCUACAAGCUGAAAACGCUUUUAAACAGCAGACAGUGAGGGGCAUGUCUAUUUCAGCGUUGGUAGCGGCGGUGCGUAGGGCCUACAAGCAUGCAAACACACCUGGAAACGAAUGCGUUCCGACUGCAUCUCCCACGGACCAUACGACGGCCAAAACAAACAAGUGCCAUCUCUGUCUCUCUUCAGGAUCCCAGAGCACAGAAAAGACGAACGCUCCUUCAAUUAGAGUUGCUGCAACCGUCAGCAUGACCAGUCUGCUCACGUACUGCCUUAGCAAUCCAAAGAUGAUGGUGAAAAUGGCGUCGCUGGCUGCAAAGACUGCAAUGAUGUAACCAACGUCGUGAACGCCCUGUGUGCAGCUGACAAACGACUGUAGGGGAAGUAGGACCGUGUACAAAUUAGAUAUGAAUUCUUAGGCAUUAAGCUUAACACUUAAAUUUUCAAGAGCAAAAUGUUGAAGGCAGCAUUUAAGUUUACCUUUGUAAAAUCUCCCACAACGAAUGAAUAGUAUGCACCAAUAAAGACGGCGAAAGGCAUGAGCAUCAGCAGAUGUGGCUCUCUCAAGGCGUGUAGUGUUGCCAGCCAGUUGGACUGUUUCUGUUCGGCUGACAGAUUCGCCGAUACAUGGUGGUAACAGGGUUUGACGUUGUCCAUGAAGAACAGGCCGAUGAGUGGAGCGAGAAUCAGGCCACUAGCCGCAAAGACGCCUAAAAAUAUCCUGAUCAGGACCUCUGGUGGCCGGAGUGUACCUAUCGUCUCUUCAGGUAUCUCUGCACCACAGUCCCGCGCACCACAACAACUAGAACUGAAAUUUGAACUGUCCAGGAGGCCCUCCUCUGAUACGUGCCUUGUGAGGACUUGGGACAGAACAAAUGUCGCAACAGUGUUCGAUAUCUGCCAGGACGCGUUUUGAAAGGCCAUAUACCGGCUCGUGAGAACUUCGGCGAGGCUGCUGCGUAACCCUGCCUUAUUGACAGCAAGAGUAUUUAGCAUUGUGGAUAUGGCCGCCCAACUAGGUCCCGUCCCCAGACCACAGAGGAUUGCGGAUGGGAUGAGAAUGAAAAACUUGGGAUAGAAGUUGCUGGCAGCAUUCAGCCCGUAAGCUACCGAACCUAAGAUAAGUGUCUUCUUGGUUCCAAGUUUCUGUAGCAUGACCGGUGAUAUCAAGAGACAUGAGACGGUGAGUGCUGCAUAAAAGCAGCUAAGACUUGCAAGGCCUAACCCCUUGGAAUCAUUCAAGCUGCUCUGAAGUGAUUGCAAAGAACUGAAACUCAAAGAGUUCAGUCCAGACACUACACAGACCGCCACAACGUUUACAGUGUGUCUUCCAACGAACGCCAUCUUAGUAUGGCGCUGUGUGAGACACUGAUCUUUCACAGUUCGCUCAGCUUACAAGUUACAGAUCAAACUUUGAAGUUUGCCCGGACGUCCGCAGAGAGCAUAAUUCGCCCUGAAAGAGAGCAAUUAAUUUCAUUACACAGUUCGCUCAUUGGAUUGCUUAUCUUUCAUACAGGACAGGCAUGUACUUGCCCGAUUAACGUAGUUUGUUUCUAAUAUAACUGAUCUCAGCAAGAGUUAGGUUCUAUAUGAUGAAUGGAGCAAAUGUUCUCCGACAAACCAGCCGCCAGGCUUUUUACGGAACUUUCGGAUAUCUAAACUCUAUCACAAAAAUUGUGGACGAAGUAAGUCACAACUACAGACGUUGGCCUUUCACUUAUAAUGUCAUAAUGAUGCACACAUGCGCUUACACUGAAAAUUUUAUGUAAUCAGGGUGAAAAACUCGUCAAAAAUGAGGCAAAUAUUAAUGCAAGUAUUUCCUCAGUUGACGAGUUUGAUUAGGAGAAUAACAAAUUAAAAUCGAUGUAUACGAACGGGUAAAGUUCCCGGACGGAUUAAAAUCAGUGGACAAAUUUCAAUAAUGGGCUAAUCUGCUUAUCGUCAAUUGGGGAUUAGACGUCGUCAUGAAGACGAAAUAAUUUUACAAGAAAAAUUCUUUGACCAAUCUCUUUAAACCUUAUCGUUACCAAAUCAAAUUUGCCCAAGGUUUGACUUCUUUUGGCUUUACGAACUUUGGUUCCCGGGUUUCCUGCCCUCGCCAGGCUGAAAUGUGAAUAUGGUUUGUAUUUGUUUCAAGAUUUGGAAAUUUGUACAAUUUGGGUUUGCUCAAUGUUAAUCAGAGAUUUAAGUGAAAAUGUCGAUUGGAAUCUUGUUUUCAGACUGUUAUUUAAGUGUGAUAACCUUGAAAGUGGCGUGUAAUGUGACCAGUUAACAUAGUCACGACAAUUGAAAUCAUUCAGAAAGACAAAUUAAUUUUCAUGCAUUAUUGAUCAAUUCUCCUGCAUUACUAAUAAAUUUGUUUUCUGCAUUAAUAGUUAAUUUUCAUGCAUUACUAAUCGUUUGAGAAAUUAGUCAAAUAAGAAAUUUUUUUCACGACUAAUUAUAAUUAUUCAGAAUUACCCAUACAUGAAAGUUUAUUAAUUAAUCAAAAAAAGACAGCGUGCAUGAAGUUUUAGCCAACUGACUUAAUACAAUUUCCAGCGUACAUAGGCAUAGCGUCAAAAGCCAUCUUAUGAGCCACCCAUUGAAAUGCACUGGGGCUCGAAGUUCAUGGAAAACUUCAAACAUACCGAUGAAUACAUUUUGAUGUCACAGGCAAACUUUAGCCAUUGCAAUAAAACUGGUAAAUAUCAUAGUCGAACUUUAGACAAGCUAACAAAAAUGAUAAAUAUGAUAACACAUUUUCAGUCGAACAUAAUUAUCAGAAUGGUACUUUACACAAUUUGAGAAUAUGCCUCCCCAGGGUGUACUAGGCCUACUUAUGGUUUCAUUUUAUAUUAACCUGACUAUAGAGUUUAAUUUCCCCUUUUCCAUGAAUAAUAAGAGAGGGGCCUCAAAUUUAAAUCAGCUCAUCAGUGGGCUUUUAUAUCACUCGUUUGCUCUCAUGAACUUUGUUGAUAUUUCAUGGAUACAAAGGGAACUGUGACCACAAUAGACUUAUUGUUUUUCUGUUAGGCAAACAUGUCAAACUAGCAACCCUGCGGAUAUUGAGGAAUUGACCCGUCUACAACUGAGCGAUGGGCAAUAUCUUAAUAAACCACCGUAUCUGAAUCCCAAGAAACUGUUUCAAGGA